CUAAUCUAUAAGCAGCAAGAGCAGAUGUGCUUGUAAGAAACAAAGAUCUUGUUUUCAUACAAAUGCGCUCAAAAUAAAACACAAAGGAAGAAAAAUACCCAGAGCACAUAAUGCAAAGAACAAGAAUUGCUUCUAAAUAGAAUGUUUUACAAAGUUUUCCAUAAAGCCUCAGCUGCUCCUCAAGCCACAACCGGCUUGAACAUGGAUGGCAGACAUGAAAUUACAGUAUUCACAAAAUUAGUAUUCAGUUUGCAGAAUCUCUCUUUCCAAAGCCUUCAGGCAUACUUUAUGCAUGCACAAUUACAGAAGCAGGAAAAUCACAUGGAGAGUGAAAAUAUCAGAAAGUCGCUAAUGUUGGGCUUAGAACUGAUCAAAGAGUUUUGUGUACGAUAGACUGCCUAAUGGUACCAGGCCUGACAGCCUGCAGUGUCCCCCUCACAUCAAGAAUGACCUCUGAAGGCAAUAUUUCCAAAGACUUGCGGCUUAACAGGAUUGUUAAGCAAGUGAUUAGACUUUGCUUUACUGUGAAAGAAUUUUGGUUUAUAAAGAGUUGAAGCUUCUCACAAACACUGGUGCCAAUCUAGGUCAACAGGAGUAAGUGAGACCAUUGUUCCAUAUCCCGCUUAAAAAGAGAACACUACUUCAAAGACAAGAACAACAUCACCUGACAAAAAUAAAAGAAGUUAUCGGUUUUAAAACA
rnacentral:lncRNA from 1 species